rnacentral:lncRNA from 13 species
AGCACAGCACUGGAGAACAACAGAAGCCUGGGGACUCUAAAGGCUGCCUAUUGCUGAGUGUUUUCCAGAGCCUGGGUCCACUGCAGUGAUAUUUCAAAAAAAAGAUGUUGAAUCCCAUGCUUUCAAUCACACAUAUGAUUGGAGAUGAGUGUUAUUGACACAUGGAAGAGUCAACAGAGUUUUCACUCCUUCACCCAGGCUGAAGUGAAGUGGCACCUUCUCAGCUCGCUACUACCUCCGCACCUUGGGUUCAAGUUAUUCUCCUGCCUCAGCCUCUCGAGUAGCUGGGAUUAGAGGCACAUGCCACCACGCCCAGCUAAGUUUUGUAACUAUAGUAUAGAUGGAGAUUUGUCUCAUUGGCCAGGCUGGUCACAAACUCCCGACCUCAAGUGAUCCACCUGUUUCGGCUUCCCAAAGUGCUAGGAUUACAGAUGUGAGCCACUGG